UUUGACAUACAAGUAGUAGGGAAGGAAACUGGACGACCCUUCGGGAGCUUGUACAGGUGCUGCAUGGCUGUCGUCAGCUCGUGUCGUGAGAUGUUCGGUUAAGUCCGCUAACGAGCGCAACCCUCGCUGUGUGUUACAAGUGUCACACGGAACUGCCGGUCAUAAACCGGAGGAAGUGGGAUGACGUCAAGUCAGCAUGGCCUUUAUAUCCUGGGCUACACACACGCUACAAUGGGAAGGGACAAUAGGUUGCGAAGCCGCGAGGCGGAGCCGAAUCCAGCAAAACUUCCCUCAGUUCAGAUUGCAGGCUGCAACUCGCCUGCAUGAAGUUGGAGUUGCUAGUAAACGCAGGUCAGCCAUACUGCGUUGAAUACGUUCCCGGGGCUU
rnacentral:rRNA from 1 species